rnacentral:rRNA from 1 species
UGCGUAGGCGGAUUAAUAAGUCAGUGGUGAAAUCUUUCGGCUCAACCGAGAAACUGCCAUUGAUACUGUUAAUCUUGAGUUCGGUUGAGGUAGGCGGAAUGUGUAAUGUAGCGGUGAAAUGCUUAGAUAUUACACAGAACACCGAUUGCGUAGGCAGCUUACUAGACCGACACUGACGCUGAGGCACGAAAGCGUGGGGAGCGAACAGGAUUAGAUACCCUGGUAGUCC